CAGGGGCCUUAGGGUGGAGAGGGCAGAUGAGGAAGCCUGAGCGGAGGCCACACACAGCCCCACUCCCGCAGAAGCAUGAGGCUUCUUCAGUUGUACUUCUUGGCUGUGCUGGCUGCCUGCAGCUUCUCAGGGGAGCCAACAGAAGACAUCACCAUUGCCUACAAAGUGCUGGAAGUUUAUCCUCAAAGCCGCCGGGUGCUUAUAACCUGCGACAGCCCUGAGGCACCCCGGCCCAUCACUUACUCUCUCCUGGCUAGCCGAGGGGUCCCGGUGGCGAAAAGGGUUGUGCAUGACGACAAGCCGGCCUCCUUCAACAUCAACGUCACGCUCAAGUCCAGCCCAGACCUGCUCACCUAUUCCUGCCGAGCGUCCUCUGAUCUGGGCACCUAUGGGCCCAGCAGCUGGCUGCAGAUGUACUGGGAGCUGUGGACCAAGCCCGUGUCCCAACUGCAGGCUGACUUCACCCUACGUGAUGUGGACUCAGGCCCCAUGGCGGAGCUGUCCUGCCUGGCAUCCUCAGGCAGUCCACCCAUCAUCUACCGCUUGGUCGGGAAUGAUGGGCGUGUACACGCACAGCAGAGAUCCCUCCACGGGAAGCCUGCCAACUUCUCUAUCCCGCUGUCCCAGACGUUUGGCUGGUUCCAUUGCGAAGCUGCAAAUAGCGUCAGUGUCGAGAGCAGUGCCCGCGUGCUGCUGCCCCCAGGGGAGCUGCCCCUGACACCCACCUGCAUUCUGGCCGGCAGCCUGGUCUCCAUUGCCGCCAUUAGUUACGGGAUGCUGAGGUCAAGCAGGUAAUAAUCCACGGAAGCCUGAUGUGGGGCAAGAGGCCAACCACCUCCUUGAACUGCCAGGGUUCUAAGUGGGAACAGCAGGUUAGUCUUGUGAGAUGGGUUGUCAUCGAGAUAUAGCAAGGGCCCAGCCUGGAGCUGCUUAUUAAAGCCAAAAACCUACAGUGUCUAGCAUGUUCCUUUCACACCCCACCCUAAUCAGGGCUCUCAGCCGACUUCUGGUGGGGGACUUCCCUAUGGGUCUCAUGGAGCCUCAAGGCACCAGAGUGGGCCAGGGGCUUCUGGCCUGCAUAGCCCUCCACAGCGGUCCCACCGGCCAACCUUUCUGCAAAGGUGAGGCCUCCCAAGUUUCCCUCUCGAAGCCUUCACAUCUCUGACAUAUACAGUGGCCAGGGCCACUGUGUGGUCUGGCUCCAGGUACCACAGAUCUCUGAGCACCAACUACUGGCCUUUGGAUGGUGGUCAAUUCUGUCUCCUUGAACAUCUCAGCUUGGCCCCUGUUGGAGCUCCUGGUUCCUCUUCCCAAGACUAUCCAGAGGUUGUGACCGGAAGACAGAGUCCCCAGGCUUGCCUCCCUGCCCUACACAAGAAUUCAUCACUGCAGCGAAAAAGAGCCCGGGGAGAGGGUACAGAAAGGGGAGCAUAUGCAGAUCAGGGUACCAAAAGUAGUGCACCCUCAAGGGGCCCUGAAGUCUAGAGCAUUAUUGUGUAUAAGGCCCAAAGAAAUAAACUUGUAUUGUGUAGGGGA